rnacentral:lncRNA from 1 species
AAGAGUUCGAGCUUGAUGUCCUAGAACCGAUAGGUAGUGGGAAUGCAGGCUUUUAUCGUACUCCCACUAGCUUUCUAUCAAAGGGCCCCCAUGCAUAUCAUCUGAAUUAUUGAGAGCGAGGGGGCUUGAAUCCUACCUCAUGUACCAACAAUCAGUACAUAAUUGAUCAAGGUUUUUCUGUGUGAUUGAAAACUUAUGUAUAGCUGUUCUCCAAGACAUCAACUAUCCAGGCGGUCAUCUGAACCAUUCCGGCGACAUAGUAGGCAUCUGCAUUGGUUUAUUGAAGAAUUCAAUCUAUGGCUAGCAUGUGUCUUAGAGGAGAGUCUCAUGGAAUCAUGGCUUUCGUUUACUUCUAUGAUAAAGUUAUAAUAGCAAAACCCUUCAAUUUAAAAGCAGGAAAAGAAAGUUUUUAGAUGCUGCUGCUGGAUGCAGAGAAAAUACGAGCAUAUGACCAAAAAGACAUGUCAGUGCCGGCUUUCAUGGAGAAAUCAUGAAAUAACAAUCGGGAGUGAGAGUAGAAUCAUACUAGCUACUGGCUAGCUGACAGAAUGGCAGCAGAGUUCAGCAUAAAAGUUCAACCCGUAAAGUAAAAAUACAUAGCAAAAGAAGAAAAGAGAUUACCCAGCAGUGCCAAUUGAGGGCAAAAUUUUUAAUCACUAGUCAUCCUACUUGAAAAUUUUGGUUUAAAGCAGGUCAAGUACAUGUCCUAUCAGGCCCUGUUCAUAUGCAUGCAAUCAAGUUUAGUAGGAAAAAGAAAAGGGGAAGAAAGAUUUUCCUCUUGUAAAUACUGUGCUUUGUUCCUUAUGAUGUCUGGCUCCAUUUUGGUGACACCAGAAUCAGAAAUUCAAGUAAUUUUUACGAUCAAAACCCAGGAAAUCUCUAAAAUCUCUUGGCAGAGAAAUGAGGUUGAGUUUGUUCAGAGUUUGACAUCGAACGGGACCUUUCCUUUGACAUGCAAAAGUUAUAGGCUAACUGAUGGAUGCUUAAGAAGGUCAAGUCAGUCUCUCUCUUUGAGCAUAACCACAGCAGCAAACAGGAACAAGGGAUCCAACUUGCUUAUUUAGAGGCUAUAGUCUAGAGUCUAAGAUUGGAUGUGAGAACCGUGUUUGUUAGUGUGUUGCAUUAAAUACAUCAUAAAACUCUGAUGAGGUACAGACAGGAAAAUCUGUAAUGAUCAUAUUUAAAACAAAAGAAAGAAAGAUCAAAAUUGGGUUGACAUUUGAACUGCAAAAUAUAUGAUAUGACUCCUGAACCAUACUAUAAGGUCAGAAUUCAAAAUCAAAGAGAUAUUGGGAGGUGAAUAUGCAUGAAAGUAUCAUGUCACAUUUUGGAAGCGUAAUAAUUUAAAACCAAGUGUUAUAUAGAGGAGAGCUUUUGAGAGUAAAUUGAGGGGGCAAGAGGGAAAACUAUGGCUGUUUUCCCCAAAAUGGGAAAGUCCCUUUCAAUUUGCUGUUUCUAAAGGCUUGGGGUCAUAAUAUCUUUAGUGGAAGUUAUAGUUGGAAUCCUUUUUGGUGCAAGAAGUGACAGGUUGAUGUGACAUCAGGAGCCCUGAGGAGUCUGGAAAGUAAUUCAGGCUUCAACCUUCAAUCUUCUCAUGAUAAUAUCCAGAAUAGUGUAGACUUUGGAGCAGCUAAAUCACUCUGGAGAUGCUGGCUUUUGGCAAGUGGUUGGCAUUGAAAAACAUGGGUGGAAUUUGACUUUGUUCACAAUCUAUUUUGCCCGUAAGGAAUUGUCAGUUGGGCGUUGGCUCAUGAUACACAAUUGAAAUGAAAAAAAUAAAUAAACAAGAUAAAAUUUAGCACCUAUUAAUUUAUCCUAAUUAGGAAAGGAACUAGCUGGCUAUUGAAAUGGUGAAGCAAAUGCCAUAGUUACAUGUCAUGUCAGGAUCGAGGAGAGAUGUUUCUGAUCAAAGCCUUAACCCCCACCCCAAAUCCAUUAAUGAAUUUAUCUACAGGCAAACAAAUGAAAGUCGAAAGAUGCGUGAUGCUUGUUCAUGGUAUCAGAGUACUGAUAUCCAGGAAAGAUAAAAAGGCAAAAUAUCCGUAGAAGCACAGAGAUAAAGUCGUAAUUCACAAAGGGAUCUUCAAACAAUCCAAGAGAGUAUUACCAAAAAGCAUGCAGUAACUGCAACUCAAUGCAAGCCUUGAUCUAGGCUCCAAACCACCCUCAGUCAAAAGUGAAACAAUG